UACGUAGGGGGCAAGCGUUGUCCGGAUUUAUUUGGGCGUAAAGAGCGUGUAGGCGGUUUUGGUAGGUCCGCUGUGAAAACUCGAGGCUCAACCUCGAGACGCCGGUGGAAACCAUCAGACUAGAGUCCGGAAGAGGAGAGUGGAAUUCCUGGUGUAGCGGUGAAAUGCGCAGAUAUCAGGAAGAACACCCGUGGCUAAGGCGGCUCUCUAGUACGGUACUGACGCUGAGACGCGAAAGCGUGGGGAGCGAACAGG
rnacentral:rRNA from 1 species